GGGCCCGCACAAGCGGUGGAGCAUGUGGUUUAAUUCGACGCAACGCGAAGAACCUUACCAAGGCUUGACAUCCCGCUGACCGGUAUAGAGAUAUACCCUUUCUUCGGAACAGCGGAGACAGGUGGUGCAUGGUUGUCGUCAGCUCGUGUCGUGAGAUGUUGGGUUAAGUCCCGCAACGAGCGCAACCCUUAUCUUCAGUAGCCAGCAGGUAAAGCUGGGCACUCUGGAGAGACUGCCGUGGAUAACACGGAGGAAGGUGGGGAUGACGUCAAAUCAUCAUGCCCCUUAUGUCUUGGGCUACACACGUGCUACAAUGGCUGCCACAAAGGGAAGCAAAGGGGCGACCUUAAGCCAAUCCCAAAAAAGCAGCCUCAGUUCGGAUCGCAGUCUGCAACUCGACUGCGUGAAGUUGGAAUCGCUAGUAAUCGCGAAUCAGAAUGUCGUGGUGAAUACGUUCCCGGGCCUU
rnacentral:rRNA from 1 species